AUCGGGGUAAAGCUCGUCGGGCUCAUAACCCGAAGGUCGUCGGUUCAAAUCCGGCCCCCGCAACCA
rnacentral:tRNA from 1 species